CGCUGCAGUACGAAGGACAAAACCUUCUCUGGAACGAUAACUAAAAGUAUUGGCAGGAUGUCUACUAUUCGUCGAAGGUCAGAGUUCUGCGAUUCGAGAGACCGAUGAGCAGCUUUAGUUGAAUUUCAGACGACAUUCGAUGCUGCAUGGCAUUUGAGACCUGUCAGGACAAUCCAACACAUUUGGAGCAUUUGUGGAAUGUUGAGUCUGCUGUGUGUUUGUCGAAGUUGGAGUCGACUGUGGUUUAACAGUCUGUGCACUCUUCUGAGAGGUAGAGUACUUUU